rnacentral:tRNA from 1 species
GGGGUUGUGGCUCAGCGGUAGAGCGUUUGUCUACCACGUACAAAGCCCUGGUUUCGAUCCUCAGAACCACA